AUGAACGCUGGCGGCGUGCCUAAUACAUGCAAGUCGAGCGAACAGACGAGGAGCUUGCUCCUCUGACGUUAGCGGCGGACGGGUGAGUAACACGUGGAUAACCUACCUAUAAGACUGGGAUAACUUCGGGAAACCGGAGCUAAUACCGGAUAAUAUAUUGAACCGCAUGGUUCAAUAGUGAAAGACGGUUUUGCUGUCACUUAUAGAUGGAUCCGCGCCGCAUUAGCUAGUUGGUAAGGUAACGGCUUACCAAGGCAACGAUGCGUAGCCGACCUGAGACGGUGAUCGGCCACACUGGAACUGAGACACGGUCCAGACUCCUACGGGAGGCAGCAGUAGGGAAUCUUCCGCAAUGGGCGAAAGCCUGACGGAGCAACGCCGCGUGAGUGAUGAAGGUCUUCGGAUCGUAAAACUCUGUUAUUAGGGAAGAACAAAUGUGUAAGUAACUAUGCACGUCUUGACGGUACCUAAUCAGAAAGCCACGGCUAACUACGUG
rnacentral:rRNA from 1 species